rnacentral:rRNA from 1 species
AUGGCAUGCAGAGGCGGCUGUGCUCCAUUCGCAGCCUGCGUCUUUCUCGUCUGCGCCGUGGCCACGGCCGUCUACACCGGCUUCCCGGCGUCCAUGAGCCCAUGUGGCUCCACUCUUGCGAGAGCGCUCCUCGCCGUCUCUGGCCUGCAUCAGUACAUCAUCCCCACCGCCCCACAUGCACUUGUCAGCGGCGAUAAGAAAAUCGGUGGGCCUCUCGCGACCAGCCUCCACACGUGCGGCAAGCCGAAGCUCCCGCCGCACGCGCUGCCGCCCUUCUACUGCUGCCCACCGGCGCCCGCGUCGGAGCCGAUCAACUUCAGCUACCGGACCCGACGGAGCCGCUCCGGCUCCGGCGGCUGGUGCACGCGCGACCCGCGCAGCUUCUACCAAUUGGUCAACGUUCACUGCGCCUACUGCACUAGCUCAUACCGCCAGACGGCCAACCCGGAGCUGGACAUGCAGAUCCACUACUCCUGGUUCUUCUUCCCGUUCCACCGCGCCUACCUCUACUUCUUCGAGCGCAUCGCGGCCAAGCUGCUUGGCGAGCCCGACUUUGCCCUGCCGUUCUGGAGCUGGGACGUGCCGGAGGGGAUGCGGAUGCCGCCCGAGUUCGCCAACUCGUCGUUGCCGCUCUACGACCCGGCACAGAACCCGAGGCACGCGCCCCCCAGGGUCGUGGACCUGGACUUCGUCGACGUCGAGAGCAACUUGACCGACGAGCAGCAGAUCCAACACAACCUCAAGGCCAUGUACAAACAAGUGUACUACCUACGUUCACGUAUGAUUGGCAAUGCAGCUUUACCGCCCCUCUUCCAUGGGCAACCCUUCCGUGCUGGCCAGUUUAAUCAGCCGGGCGGUGGGUCAGUGGAGCUCUCCGCACACGACGCGGUGCACGCCUGGACUGGUGAUAUAGGCCUCCCUAACGUGGAGAACAUGGGCACGUACUACUCCGCCGGCCGGGACCCGCUCUUCUACCUGCACCACAACAACAUUGACCGCCUGUGGCAGGCAUGGCGCGACAUCGGCACUGCCCGUGGCUACCGCGGCCAUGUCGACUUCACGGACCCCGACUGGCUGGACUCCUCCUUCCUCUUCUAUGACGAGGAGUUCCACCGGGUGCGGAUCACCGUUCAGGACGUGCUUGACACCAAGAAGCUUCGGUAUAGGUUCGAUGGUGUCGGCAUGCCGUGGGCCGACGCACGUCCACCAACAACUCCGAACGUGAAUGGCAACACAAGUUCUGUCAAGUCCGUCAGGUUCCCAGUGUCCGUCGACGACGCGGCUGUGAGCGCGGAGGUGAGACGGUCGGGAGUGCUACGGAGCUCGCGGGAGCUGGUGUUGGUGUUAGAGGGAACCAAGACCAACGGCACAGGGAUGGUUAAGUUCGACGUGUACAUCAACGCCAUGGAGCACGAGAAGGUCAAAUCGGGUGGGCGGGAGAUGGCCGGGAGCUACAUGUGCUUGAGCCAUCCCCGUAUGGAUGGCACCGGGAAGGGGAUGAGGAUAGAGACGAGCAUGAGGGUGGCGUUGAACGAACUCUUAGAGGACCUGGGUGCCGAUGGAGACAAGUGCGUAACGGUGACAUUGGUGCCCAGGCGUGGGAAGGCUAAAGUCGGAAGCCUGAGAAUAGUGUACAUGGAGGAGUGA